rnacentral:rRNA from 1 species
GCCAGCCCGCUCAGAAACUUAAAGGAAUUGACGGGCCGCACAAGCGUGGAGUAUGUGGUUUAAUUCGAUGCAACGCGAAGAACCUUACCUGGUCUUGACAUCCCGGAGACCCUUAGGAAACUAGGGGGUGCUUCCAUCUGGAAGAAUCUGGAGACAGGUGCUGCAUGGCUGUCGUCAGCUCGUGUCGUGAGAUGUUGGGUUAAGUCCCGCAACGAGCGCAACCCUUGCCUUUAGUUGCCAGCAGUUCGGCUGGGCACUCUAAAGGGACUGCCGGUGUUAAACCGGAGGAAGGUGGGGAUGACGUCAAGUCCUCAUGGCCUUUAUGACCAGGGCUACACACGUACUACAAUGGCCGAUACAAAGGGCAGCGACACUGCGAGGUGAAGCCAAUCCCGUAAAAUCGGUCUCAGUCCGGAUUGGAGUCUGCAACUCGACUCCAUGAAGUUGGAAUCGCUAGUAAUCGUGGAUCAGCAUGCCACGGUGAAUACGUUCCCGGGCCUU